rnacentral:rRNA from 1 species
AUUGAACGCUAGCGGCAUGCCUUACACAUGCAAGUCGAACGGCAGCACGAACUUCGGUUUGGUGGCGAGUGGCGAACGGGUGAGUAAAGCAUCGGAACGUGCCUAGUAGUGGGGGAUAGCUAUUCGAAAGAGUAGCUAAUACCGCAUACGAUCUAAGGAUGAAAGUGGGGGAUAUUCAGACCUCAUGCUAUUAGAGCGGCCGAUGUCAGAUUAGCUAGUUGGUGAGGUAAAAGCUCACCAAGGCGACGAUCUAUAGCUGGUCUGAGAGGACGACCAGCUACACUGGGACUGAGACACGGCCCAGACUCCUACGGGAGGCAGCAGUGGGGAAUUUUGGACAAUGGGCGAAAGCCUGAUCCAGCAAUGCCGCGUGUGUGAAGAAGGCCUUCGGGUUGUAAAGCACUUUUGUUCGGGAAGAAAAGGUUUGUGUUAAUACCAUAAGCUGAUGACGGUACCGAAAGAAUAAGCACCGGCUAACUACGUGCCAGCAGCCGCAGUAA